rnacentral:lncRNA from 1 species
UUGAACAUAAUGAUCCAACGCCAUCUCCCAAUCUUGAAGUCCUUGUAUCUGAGGCAGAGGAAGAUGAUGUUGAAGGGGAUUCCUGACGAGAUUACCCGCCUUCUUGAGCACACAAAGAAGCUCAUUCAGCUGUAUCAUGAGCAUCAGCAAAACAGUCAAACUGGGGCAUUGCAUAAUGCAAUCAAUCAAAAAAAAAUCAAAUAAGCCAAAAAAGAGAAAGAGGGUAAAAAAAUAAGA